GGCCAGCCACUGUCUGUCAACUUUCGCCGGCCUUCCGACCUAAUUUUUUUGAUUCGCUUCACUUCAGCAGCCACUUCAGCGAUUUCGGCAAAUUGUGUACGUGUAUGUCCGCAGAUAUGGCCCCUGGAACUCGUAUUCUUCUCUUGGAUUCAUCUAACAAGAGCGCAACGUUUGUAAGACCAAGGACCAAAGCUUGUACCUUCAGGAAAUGGAGGUACAAGCUGAAAUGGUGCAUGUAGAAUGCAAUAGUUCAAUAUCGUUGGUGCAGAAUGAAAAUGAUGGAGUGCAGUUACAAAGUCGGCUUCAGGAAAUUUUUCGCUUACAAUGAGCAAACGCCAGUCCUUGGAUGAAAACUUGUGGAGCUGGUGGAAAUCUUUAUCGAGACACCGUUCUCAAGAGUAAUCACCGAAAUCUACAGCAUUUGUGCCAACAUUUAAAUCUCCACUGCACCAUGUACCAACGCCACUUGUUUUCCUCUACUCUGCCAACACUUCUAAAAC